GACGAACGCUGGCGGCGUGCCUAAUACAUGCAAGUAGAACGCUGAAGGAGGAGCUUGCUCUUCUGGAUGAGUUGCGAACGGGUGAGUAACGCGUAGGUAACCUGCCUGGUAGCGGGGGAUAACUAUUGGAAAAGAUAGCUAAUACCGCAUAACAGUAGAUGUUGCAUGACAUUUACUUAAAAGGUGCAAUUGCAUCACUACCAGAUGGACCUGCGUUGUAUUAGCUAGUUGGUGGGGUAACGGCUCACCAAGGCGACGAUACAUAGCCGACCUGAGAAGGUGAUCGGCCACACUGGGACUGAGACACGGCCCAGACUCCUACGGGAGGCAGCAGUAGGGAAUCUUCGGCAAUGGACGGAAGUCUGACCGAGCAACGCCGCGUGAGUGAAGAAGGGUUUCGGAUCGUAAAGCUCUGUUGUAAGAGAAGAACGAGUGUGAGAGUGGAAAGUUCACACUGUGACGGUAUCUUACCAGAAAGGGACGGCUAACUACGUG
rnacentral:rRNA from 1 species